AAAAUCAAAAUUACCUAUAGCUCUUCUCAAACUUUUUCAGAAGUCAGGUUCUGUGAUUCCAUAAACCCAUUCCUCUUUCUCUCUCUCUUAAACUGUGAAACCCUAUCUCUACUCAUCUCUACGCUCGAAUCCACGAACCCAACUUUCAACCACCAAAAAUGGCCGAAUCUCUAGACAUCCCUCGACGAUAUCAUCAAAAACAACAAGAAAUCCAGAGGAGGAUUCAAGGGCAGAGGCCGUGGCCGAGCCACUACAACUGGUAGAGGAGGCUUUGCUGCCUCUGGCCUAGGUCCAGCUCGUCGCUUCCCCAACCGUGCUCCCACUAGGACGACGUCGUAUUUAACUCCUCAGAUGGCUUAAGUGCAGCAACUGAUAGCGAUUGGAGGGGCGGGAGCCAAAUCUGGGGCGAAGAUUUAUGUUUCCAACGAGGAUAUAAAGGUAUAUUCAUUCUCUGUCACCUAUACUAAUAUAUGUAGUAGGUUCACUCUACUUUACCAUUGAUGUUUUUUUGGUCAAUGGCAAUGUUAUUAAGCUCAAACCAACGAAGAACAAGAGGACCAAGUCCUUGCACAACUAUGAAACCCAGAAACACAAAAAAAAAAAAAAAACCAAACAACUAUCGAACCACAAAACCAUUUGGGAGGAAAAAAUCUUCCUACUGAUUUUCCAAGCAACAGCAAUGGUGAGAUUUUGGGACGAGGACUUAACUCAUCUCCAGGAACUAAUACAGGCACGAUAUCGUCAAUGAUGAUAACUUGCAAAGAAGAACAAUCCAAGCUCCGGUUCUGGAAGACCCUUUCAUUGCUCUCCCUCUAAAGCCAGUACGUUGUGGCAGCAAAAGACAAUUUGAAAACCGUAUGAGCCAUAGAAUUCCCACCUUUGAAUUGCUUAGCCCAACACAGGACCUUAUGUAACUCCACUGGACCAUUUUAUAAUCCCAUUGUAGACCAGAAUAGAAGACCAGACUUGUGUAGAAUAACCACACGUGAAAAACAAAUGAGCGUGGGAUUCAUCCUCCCUAGAGCAGAGAGCACAUUUAGGGCGUGUUUGAUUGCAGAUUUUGUUUUGGGGGGAUUCGUAAUGAGGUGGGAUUAGGAUUGGGAUUGAGAAUGAGGUGGGAUUAUUAAUGAGGGGAUAAAUCAUUUAUUCAUGUUUGUUUUGCACAGGAUUCGAUUGUAGGAUUGUAAAUAACAUGUUUGUUUUGGCUAGGAUUAGGAUUGGGAUUGGGAUUGAUGUGAGUUUUUACACUGGUUUUGCUCAACCCCAUGGGGAUGGGAUUCAUAGUAACACACACACCCCCCCACCCCCCCCGGUAUUGCUAAUACCCCCAUUUUGGGGGAUUAACAAUCCCAUGGGACAACUAGUCCCACCCAUAAAAACCUUACCAAAUAAGGUAUUAGGAGCCCCAUAGGAUUAUUAAUCCAAUCCCCCUUUCCCAAACCUCCUAUCAAACACGCCCUUAGGAUCCACUUGUAUACCCCAAGAGGACAAUCUAUCAUUAGUGGAAAGCCUCCCAAAGACUAAAAGUCACUGAAUAAACGUCCAUAUGACAUUUUACCAUUGAUUUUUUCCUUAUUGUUAUCUAUACCAUAUUGUUUUGGAAGAGAGACGUUAUUUGUUAGAUUGCCAUUGACUCUAAAUCAAAUAAGAAAAAGGAGAGCUACAAAGGAUGGGGUGCUGGAGUUCAAAGUUCACUAUAGUAAACUGAAGUUUGGCGCAAGUUUGUUGCUUUAUUGUUUUAAUAUUUCAAGUAUCAUUUUUUUUUUUGUUUAAUUGUGGUCCUACCCUAAUGGUCCAUGACAUGUAAUGCAUAUAUUUUUCACAUGCUCAAGUAAUUGUGCUCAAUAUCUAGAUCCAUGUGCGGGCUAAAUGGGGGAAAUUGAUAAGAACUGUAACAACAUAACAAAGGACUGAAAUGUUGGAUUAUUUGUCAUAUUCAGAGAGACUGAGAACUUAUUUAUCAGGCCAAUGGUGUAAAAUUCAAGUGGUGUAGACUUCUAGAGGUUGUCAUAUUAAUGUGCAGAGAAAUUGGAUAAAAAUUUCCUCAAUUUUGUGUACCAGCAUUAUCCAGUAGACUUUUUUUUUUGUUUUCAACACUAAACUUGGCUAUUUGCCAUAAUGCAGUAACAUUUAUUUAAGCUUCUUUCAAGUGCUAUUCUUAGAAGUUGGUCUGUUGAAGCGACAUUCAAUCCACUAUGACUGGAGAGGAAGAUCAAAGGGAACUGCGGAAGUUGUUUUUGCACAUCAAGCAGAUGCUUUAAAGGCCAUCGAGAGAUUCAACAACGUGCAGCUUGAUGGGAAACCAAUGAAAAUUGAGUUGGUUGGAGUCAGCAUUAUCACUCCUGCUACUGUUGUUCCAACUACCAAUGGCAUAUUAGGACACCACUCGAGCGCUGGUUUUGGAAGGCAAGAAACCGUCGCGAGAAUUGGAUGGGAUCGACGUGGCGGUGGCUGCCAAGGAUUUGGGAGGGGACGUGGAAGAGGCAACGGCAAUGACGGAUGUCUACUAAAGAAUUUUGAUGCUGAUUUGGAGAAGUAUCAUAUGGAAGCUAUGCAAAUAAACUGAGAGUUGUGUCCAAUUUUUAAUUCUAUCAUUCAGGGUUUUCCUUGUUCUACAAUGCCAAUCAUUGUACCCAGUUCUGCUUUGAAAUAUUACAAAUUGGAUGCAAAGUAGAUUGAUAAGCGCGGCUAUGUGCUUUUGUCUACUCUGGUGACUUUGGUGCAAGUUUUAGGCCGAGCUUAUUCUGUGCUGUGAUUGGUGUUGUGUCAGCUAUAAGAUGGUUUUAUGAUGAAGCAUCUUUAGAGGAGCAGAUGUAAACACUGGCUUCCCAGUGAACUAAUUUUAUUGCUAUGCCGAAUUAGUUGUAAGAAGCAUCUAUGCUUGUGCUAUUGAAGAUCUUUGUUAAGA